AAGAGGGAGCACAGGGUGUAUGUGUGCGUGUGUGUGUGUGUGUGUGUGUGUGUGUGUGUGUGUGUGUGUGUGCCCAGUUAGCUUGUGACAAAGCUGAGACUACAACCUAAGCAGCUGACAUGGUGCAGGAAGGGCUCUGAGCUCAGAGUCUGAACACAGGUUCAAGUUUCAGCUCUGCCACUUCUUAGCUCUGCUGCUCUGGAUUCGGAGCCACACAGAAACCAGUCGCAUGCCAGCCGCUCAAAGAGCCCCAGGAGGAGCCAGUCAGGGAGGCUCGCCGUAUUACACCCUGGGUCCUUCCCCCUCUACCCACCCAGACACCAGGCGGCACCUGCCCUUCGAACACACUGUUUCUGCUCCCAGGGCUCUGAGCAGACAGCACGAGGCGGCCUCUUGCGUGAUGGGGAGAAGAGAGUCAGAGCCACUCCAAGGCAACGGGGAGGCAGGAAGUUCAAGUUGAGUGUGGCGCUGCCCAGCUGCAGGACUAAACUCUGGAAUGCCAAGGGACCUGGCCCCAAGCUGGACCACCAACCCAGUGAACAAAUCAUGACAGGGAGAAACACAGUGGGUAUUGCUUCUCUGCACUAGCUGUUUGAAGUUUCCCUGGGAUGCCCUGACAUGAAGCUGUAGUGCUUCUCCUGCCAGGAUCCAUUCAUUCAUUCAUCCACCAUUCAUUCACUUUGCCAUUUCUAUCUCCCUUCAGUCAGAGCAAACUUGUCCAACCUGCUGUGUCUAAGCAGAAGCAGAAGGCUUCUCCAUCUAGAAUAGAGAAGGCUAGCCCUGUCCUGGCUUCUGUGGUAUUUAUGUCAUCCUAUGACAGUGUGUAAUGAGCCACCUAAAUCCCACCAGAACCCCGGAAAUUGAAGGCCAGAGACAGUCAGAGGUGGGGUGGGAUGGAGGAGCCAUGGAAGGAACUGGUGGGGGACUCAGAAUGCUACAGCCCCCGCCUCCACCCUCUCUGCAUGCAUGUGACAGUUGUCACUGUGCUCAUACGGAUCCACCAGAAUUUGAAGACACUGGAGCUCAGAAGAAAGCGCAAGGUCCCUGGCUGGCUGGCAGGGGUGGGGUUGGAACAGAGCCCCAGUCCCUCACUGCCUCUUCAUCCCCCUGCUGGGCAGUCGCCAUUGUGCUGUGACAGGAAUGACUCUGGGCUUCAAUAUCCUUCUGCAGACAUUCUAGUUACCAUUGUGAAUACCCCCUGCUGCAGGGGUCCACAAUGCUGUUUCUCCAGGUCUCCUCAAUGUCCAGGCAGCCAUGACAACAGAGUAACCAGUUUACAUCACAGAGUAGGGCUUCUGAAAGCUCUGGCUUGGGCAUUUAAGGCAACAACCAAUGCAUUCUAAACAGUCACCCAUUUUUCAGGAGAAGAAACUGAGGCUGCAGGGCCACAUAACUUACCCAAGGUCCCCCAAUGAGCAAGCAUGCAGAAGAGACACUUGUCCAGAAUGGAGCCCAGUACAGCCUCUGUGACUCCCAGGGCUCGUUGCCUUGGUGACAGGCCCCAGCACAGCAGCUGGGCUCAGUCCCAAAAGGGCUCCAAUUCCAGGCAGUUACACCCAGGAAUGUCACAUCCCGGACCUGCUCCCAGAAGCCUGAACCAUCUAAACACCACAGUGGAACAAACAAGGUGAUGCUGUGGGGGCUUCCUGCUGUGCUGACAGGGGCCAUCGAGGAUGCCAGCCUGCCUGCUGGAUUCACAAAGCCUCCAUCAGCCUGUUUCCAGGUGUGCAGAGAGUAGGACUCAGGCAGCCUCAGGCCCCACAUCCUUGAAGACCCAGGCCCUGCCACAGCCCAGGAAGGAGGGACCCAGAGCCAGUGUCUGGAGCUUUUCAGUUUAGUAAUGAGUUUCAACAACAGCCUGUAUGCUGCCCCCAACCCUUACAGAGCCACUCAGUCCAGGGUCAUGCUAGAUCUGACUAUAACUAGCCACCUUCCCUCUUGCUUUCUGAAUUCAGCUUUCCUUAGAGAAUCAGAGAUCUGCUUCAGGCUGUCUGAAGGUGACAGGUGACAAUGGGCACAGAGGUCUAAGAAACAGACAUGUGUCAGGCUAGAUUGUGACAAAGGAAUGUAUUCAAGCCUGAAGGUGUCACUUUGGGGCCAGGUCUCUGUGGGACACACAGCAUUCCUUCCAGAAAUGUCCUUUGCCUCCUCUGCCGGGCAUCCCUUCUGCACACCCUUCAAGAUGCCAGCUAGUCAGCUAAAGCUCCCUUUCCCAACAGCCCUCCCGGCCCCCUCAGGUACCUCUGU